ensembl:lncRNA LY6S-AS1 LY6S antisense RNA 1
CCCCCAGCCUCAGCUUCCCUGACAGGGCAGGGGCUCACUCUUCUCCACUCCGGGCCAGGAACGCAGCCUGCUUGCCUUUUGUCCAAUUGGGUGCUCUUUCUUUGCGACUGAUACAAAGUGGGAACAAACUCCGCUUCCGGUGAUGCCCGGGCCCCAGGAGGCUGGGGGAGAAGUGCACGCUGCCCAGCCUUCAACCUGAACUGCCCCCAGCACUUCCGAGCCCCGACCCCUGCAGCUGUGAGGGCCCAGGGGCUGCUGGCUGCCAGGACCACCGCAUUGCAGAGGUCUCCCUUGCAGCAAGAGAUCUGGGAGUCCACAACGGCACUUAACCUGCCCUCUGCCCUGGCACCCCAGGGACUCACUGCCAAAGACGCUCACUUUCUGGGAGACACAGACCCCAUCCAGGAAGGGGCACGAGACCACGCUGCAGGAGGCCCCUUCCAAGACCGCCAAGCAUCUGUAGCAGCGCAGACCCUGAGCUGGGAGAGAGGGCAAGGAUUCUCUCGGCACCACGGGAACCACCUUCUCUACUCUCACUGAACACCCCUGGGAUGUAUCUGUAAAAAUUGGAACACCUUUCGGCUAGAAAUGGAAUCAUGAUAUGUUGCCUGGCUGGUCUUGAACUCCUGAGCUCAAGUGAUCCUCCCACCUCAGCCUCUCAAAGUACUGGGAUUACAGUCAUGAGCCACUGUGUCUGGCACAAGCAAAUAUUAAAACAAUGAAAGUACAAUGGAAUAGAGGAAAAACCAGGCCAUACAGAGAUAGGAGCUGAAGGGACAUGGUGAGAAGUGACCAGAAGACAAGAGUGCGAGCCUUCUGUCAUGCCCGGACAGGGCCACUACAGGGCUCCUUGGUCUAGCGGUAGUGCCAGUGCCUGGAAGGCACCUGUUACUUAGCAGACCAGGAAAGGGAGUCUCCCUUUCCCUGAGGAAGUUAGAGAAGACUCUGCUCCAGCACCUCUUGUGGAGGGCCUGACAUCAGUCAAGCCCGCCCGCAGUUAUCUGGAGGCCUAAACGUCUCCCUGUGAUGCUGUGCUUCAGUGGUCACGCUCCUGAUCCACUUUCAUGUUCCGCCCUGUACACCUGGCUCCGCCUUCUAGAUAGCAGUAGCAGAAUUAGUGAAAGUAUUAACGUCUUUGAUCUCUCCAGAACUACAUAGAAGAAAUAAUGACGUAAGCUGUCCCCUCUCUCUCUCCGCCUCGGCUACCAAAUAGGGAAGGGCCCCCUGUCUGGUGGACACAUGACUUGUGUGACCUUACCUAUCAUUGGAGAUGACUCACACUCCUUACCCUGCCCUCUUGCCUUAUAUACAAUAAAUAACGGCACGGCCAGGCAUUCAGGGUCACUACCGGUCUCCACGCCUUGG